ensembl:lncRNA
UUGGGCGAGGAGUGGUUGGUAGUGGAGAGGGAUGAAAGAGUUUGGAGGGGUUGGAGUCUGGACCGUUUGAGCGAGGAGUGGUUGGCAUUGGAGAGGGAUGAAAGAGUUUGGAGGGGUUGGAGUCUGGACCGUUUGAGCGAGGAGUGGUUGGCAGUGGAGAGGGAUGAAAGAGUUUGGAGGGGUUGGAGUCUGGACCGUUUGAGCGAGGAGUGGUUGGCAGUGGAGAGGGAUGAAAGAGUUUGGAAGGGUUGGAGUCUGGACCGUUUGAGCGAGGAGUGGUUGGCAGUGGAGAGGGAUGAAAGAGUUUGGAGGGGUUGGAGUCUGGACCGUUUGAGCGAGGAGUGGUUGGCAGUGGAGAGGGAUGAAAGAGUUUGGAGGGGUUGGAGUCUGGACCGUUUGAGCGAGGAGUGGUUGGCAGUGGAGAGGGAUGAAAGAGUUUGGAGGGGUUGGAGUCUGGACCGUUUGAGCGAGGAGUGGUUGGCAGUGGAGAGGGAUGAAAGAGUUUGGAGGGGUUGGAGUCUGGACCGUUUGAGCGAGGAGUGGUUGGCAGUGGAGAGGGAUGAAAGAGUUUGGAGGGGUUGGAGUCUGGACCGUUUGAGCGAGGAGUGGUUGGCAGUGGAGAGGGAUGAAAGAGUUUGGAGGGGUUGGAGUCUGGACCGUUUGAGCGAGGAGUGGUUGGCAGUGGAGAGGGAUGAAAGAGUUUGGAGGGGUUGGAGUCUGGACCGUUUGAGCGAGGAGUGGUUGGCAGUGGAGAGGGACGAAAGAGUUUGGAGGGGUUGGAGUCUGGACCGUUUGAGCGAGGAGUGGUUGGCAGUGGAGAGGGAUCAAAGAGUUUGGAGGGGUUGGAGUCUGGAGCAAGACAGUCACUUUGAGGAGCGUGUGACCCGUCAGGCACCAUGCUUUGCGGGUACACAGACUGUGUCUCCGGUACGCAUCCACAGCCCGGUGCGCUCUGUGCCAGCGCCCCGCAUUUUCCGUGCUAGAGUGGGCAUUCAGCCAGGAUGGAUUGUGCCGGCUCAGCGCUCCUGGUCUCCGGUGCGUCUCUUUGGCCCAGGAUAUCCUGCGCCGGCUCUGCGCACUGUGUCGCCAGUGCGCCUUCACAGCCCAGUGCGUCCUGUGCCAGCGCCCCAAACCUGCCGGGCUAAAGUGAGCAUCCAGCCAGGACGGAUAGUGCCAGCUCUACGCUCCAGACCUCCAGUGCGCCUCCACGGUCCAGUAUAUCCUGUGCCAGCUCCAUGCACCCGGCCUCCAGUGCGUGUCUCCAGCCUGGUACGUCCUGUGCCUGCCUCCACAAAGCCUCCAGUGAUGAUCCAUGGCCUGAAGCCUCCAGUGAUGAUCCAUGGCACAAAGCCUCCAGUGAUGAGCCAUGGCCCGAAGCCUCCAGUGGUGAUCCAUGGCCCGAAGCCUCCAGUGAUGAUCCAUGGCCCAACACCUCCAGUGAUGAUCCAUGGCACGAAGCCUCCAUUGUUGAUCCAUGGCCUGAAGCCUCCAGUAAUGAUCCAUGGCCCAACACCUCCAGUGAUGAUCCAUGGCCCGAAGCCUCCAGUGAUGAGCCAUGACCCGAAGCCUCCAGCGAUGAAAUAA